rnacentral:rRNA from 1 species
UAGGGAAUCUUCCGCAAUGGACGCAAGUCUGACGGAGCAACGCCGCGUGAGUGAAGAAGGAUUUCGGUUCGUAAAACUCUGUUGUUAGAGAAGAACAGCGCAUAGAGUAACUGUUGUGCGUGUGACGGUAUCUAACCAGAAAGCCACGGCUAACUACGUGCCAGCAGCCGCGGUAAUACGUAGGUGGCAAGCGUUGUCCGGAUUUAUUGGGCGUAAAGCGAGCGCAGGCGGUUAGAAAAGUCUGAAGUGAAAGGCAGUGGCUCAACCAUUGUAGGCUUUGGAAACUGUUUAACUUGAGUGCAGAAGGGGAGAGUGGAAUUCCAUGUGUAGCGGUGAAAUGCGUAGAUAUAUGGAGGAACACCGGUGGCGAAAGCGGCUCUCUGGUCUGUAACUGACGCUGAGGCUCGAAAGCGUGGGGAGCGAACAGG